rnacentral:rRNA from 1 species
UACAGAGGUCUCGAGCGUUGUUCGGAUUCAUUGGGCGUAAAGGGCGCGUAGGCGGCGGGGUAAGUCUGGUGUGAAAUCUCGGAGCUCAACUCCGAAAUUGCACUGGAUACUGCUCUGCUAGAGGGCUGGAGAGGAGAUCGGAAUUCACGGUGUAGCAGUGAAAUGCGUAGAUAUCGUGAGGAAGACCAGUGGCGAAGGCGGAUCUCUGGACAGCUCCUGACGCUGAGGCGCGAAGGCUAGGGGAGCAAACAGG